CGCCUACGUCCAUGGAAGUGAAAGUCCUCUUUUUCUUUGUACCACUUACUGAGGGUUUCAAAGAUUUGGCACGUUACGGGGAGGAACUAAGCUCAGAUUCAGCACAUGCAAACACGUACAUGCACAGGGAUAGGCUGAAGAGGAAGAGGAAGAGCAGGUGUUGGUCUUGAUGUCUCAGGGCAGGCAGAGGUGGAAGAGAAUCUGUGUGUAA
rnacentral:lncRNA from 1 species